CUACCUCCGCACCACCGGCAUCCGCAGGUACCAUGGGUAUGUGUUUGUGUACUCAAGUGUUUAGCAAAACUGAUCACGGCCACAGACGAAACUUCAACUUUAGUCUUGUGGUGUUUGGCGUCAGGGAAAAUACGUUUCGCCCAAAAGUGCUCGUUUGCUACCUCCUCGCCACCCGUCGUUGCUCUUUUCCUCAUCUGAAGCCAACCAGUGUGUGACCAAAGUUGAAAAAUCCCACACAGAAUUAUUUUACAUUUUUCUACCUUUUCAAUUUUUCCAUUAAAUUUAAUUUUUUUUUGUUUUCCGGGUGUUUUCCAAGCGUGCUCUUUUUUUUUAUCUGUUUAGCAAGAGACCAGAGAGACAGAGAAAGGUGUGGAAAAUUAGUGGGAAAAUUCCAAAUGAGAUAGAUAAAGUUUAUCAGGGACAUUAUAGGGGGUCUUAUUGAGAUAGAAUUUGAGAUUUUCAUUUAUAGUUGCUCUUAUCACAGAACUAUUAGAGGGAUUAAGAGGUGUUCUUGAUUAUGAAGGGCAAAUUUGGCGCGAAAUUCUCCUUGCAUUCUGUAAAGUCGUGAUAAGAUUUUCUUUAUACUAAAUCUCAUUUCUGGAGGACUUAAGUGGUGUCGUGAGUCUUCCUAGGAUUUUACGGGAACAUCAUUAUCGUGUGCAAAUUUAAAUAGUUUUCUGACUAAGACAAUUCUCCAGGAAAAAAAAACCUAUGGCUGAGGCACGACGAUGAGAUAGAAAAAUUUAUCCAACACUUAGCUGUAGCGAAGCUCGAUCUUGAGCAAAUAUUUAAUAAUAUACAUUGAGUAAUCGUCAUUUUUUCAUCUUUUCCAUCUCUCUACGUCUCCUAAGUCAAUAUGCCAUGAAGAUGUAAUAUUUCCAUAAGAAAAUUUUUGCUAAAUUAUGCCACAGAGAGAGACAACAAAGUAUGGGGAGAAUAUUGUAGAGAAAAUUUUAUUUAAUUGCUUCUUUCUGUGGGUUUUUUCACCUGUUUUUUUUUGGCAUUCUUUUAUCGUAGAUUUUUCUCCAAAAAAUUAUUCGACAGGCAUGAAACAGAAAUUUAUUUAACUAUCCCACGCAUUUUAAUUGAAUUUCACGGUGAAAUUGAGGGAAUAAGCAGAUAAAUCCAUCUCUGAGCAUGAUUGUUGGGGCAACCUUCCUGCGUUCUUCACAGUCCAGACACCCUAUUUCACGUGAAAUAGCGCUUAAAAAAAAGUAAAUGUGAAUUUUUUUUAAACUCAGCCUGAGGUCAAUCUUCUGCAUUCACAUGAAAUAUUUUUCCUUACUAUUUUUACUAAUUAUUUAAACGAAUAUACUCUUUUUGUUUUUGUACUUAUCUUCACCUCCCGUUCCAUUUGGUCUGUGAAAAUCUUUCGACUAGAAACAACACCAUAGCUCCGGGAAGAGUCACGGGCCAUUGUAAAGUGUGUGUAUGUGAAACGCGCUUGGAGUUUCUUCUUUGCGGAUGGAGGAAGGAAAAAAAAGAAGAAUAUAUGAAAAAGAAAAAGGCUUCCCAAACAGUGCCCACCGUAGAAAUAUACCACUAUAUUUUCGUGACCAUGGUCCGGCUCUGGUGAACUUCAUCUCUCCUGAUUUUUCAUCAACCAUUUGGAAUUAGUAACUCGGGCGCUAUAGUUGUCUUUGGUUAUCUAGCUGUAUGAGUGAAUUUAACGUCAUAAAGCUAGUUUACCGAAGUUAAUAUUGGUGCCUUUUCACCUCAACCAUAUCAGCUGAAUCAUCAAAUUUUCCGCCAACCAACACCACGGAAGAAAAUCAACGCAUCACAAGAAAUUAUUAUUAUAUAGUGAAUGUUAUUCCACAUGAAUGAUAGGGGAGACUGGGGCUAAUUACCCAGCUAAUUAUGUGAUAAAAGAUUUUGUAAUAAAUAUAAAUUUAAGAAUUUCAGAAAA